rnacentral:rRNA from 1 species
AGAGUUUGAUCCUGGCUCAGGACGAACGCUGGCGGCGUGCCUAACACAUGCAAGUCGAACGGAGCUGUUUUGAAAGAUCUUUUCGGAGUGAUUUUAAUUCAGCUUAGUGGCGGACGGGUGAGUAACGCGUGAGCAACCUGCCUUUCAGAGGGGGACAACGGUUGGAAACGACCGCUAAUACCGCAUGAAAUGACUGGACCGCAUGAUCCGGUCAUCAAAGAUUCUAUCGCUGAAAGAUGGGCUCGCGUCUGAUUAGAUAGUUGGUGGGGUAACGGCCCACCAAGUCGACGAUCAGUAGCCGGACUGAGAGGUUGAACGGCCACAUUGGGACUGAGAUACGGCCCAGACUCCUACGGGAGGCAGCAGUGGGGAAUAUUGGGCAAUGGGGGCAACCCUGACCCAGCAACGCCGCGUGAGGGAAGAAGGCUUUCGGGUUGUAAACUUCUUUUACCGAGGACGAAGAACGUGACGGUACUCGGAGAAAAAGCCACGGCUAACUACGUGCCAGCAGCCGCGGUAAUACGUAGGUGGCAAGCGUUGUCCGGAAUUACUGGGUGUAAAGGGCGUGUAGGCGGAGCGGCAAGUCAGAAGUGAAAUCUCUGGGCUCAACCCGGAAACUGCUUUUGAAACUGUCGCCCUUGAGUAUCGGAGAGGCAGGCGGAAUUCCUAGUGUAGCGGUGAAAUGCGUAGAUAUUAGGAGGAACACCAGUGGCGAAGGCGGCCUGCUGGACGACAACUGACGCUGAGGCGCGAAAGCGUGGGGAGCAAACAGGAUUAGAUACCCUGGUAGUCCACGCCGUAAACGAUGGAUACUAGGUGUGGGGGGACUGACCCCCUCGUGCCGCA